UACGUAGGGGGCGAGCGUUGUCCGGAGUUACUGGGCGUAAAGCGCUUGUAGGCGGUUCUCUAAGUUUGGGGUGACAGUUGCCGACUUAAUCGGCAAAGUGCCUCAAAGACUGGCGGACUUGAGGGCCACAGAGGGACAUGGAACUCCAGGUGUAGUGGUGAAAUGCGUAGAUAUCUGGAAGAACACCAAAGGCGAAGGCAGUGUCCUGGGUGGUCGCUGACGCUGAGAGGCGAAAGCCAGGGGAGCGAACGGG
rnacentral:rRNA from 1 species